UACGUAGGGUGCAAGCGUUGUCCGGAAUUAUUGGGCGUAAAGAGUUCGUAGGCGGCUUGUCGCGUCCGUUGUGAAAGCUUGGGGCUCAACCCCAAGUCUGCAGUUGAUACGGGCAGGCUAGAGUCAGGUAGGGGAGAACGGAAUUCCUGGUGUAGCGGUGAAAUGCGCAGAUAUCAGGAAGAACACCAAUGGCGAAGGCAGCUCUCUGGGACGGUACUGACGCUGAGACGCGAAAGCGUGGGGAGCGAACAGG
rnacentral:rRNA from 1 species